UAAAACAAGGAAGUGGAGACAACAUUUUGGCUCCUCUCUGAGCCUUCUAGUCUCAGGGAGGUGCCGAAACUUUGUCCCUACUUCCUUGUUUCAAAUAAAAAAAA